rnacentral:rRNA from 1 species
AUUGAACGCUGGCGGCAGGCCUAACACAUGCAAGUCGAGCGAGCGGCGGACGGGUGAGUAAUGUAUGGGGACUGCCCGAUAGAGGGGGAUAACUACUGGAAACGGUGGAUAAUACCGCAUACUAUCGGCUGACCCAUAUGGGAUUAGCUAGUAGGUGGGGUAAAGGCUCCACUAGUCGACUAUCUCUAGCUGGGUUGAGAGGAUGAUACGACACACUGGGACUGAUCCACGGCCCAUAAUCCUACGGAGGCAGCAGGGGGGAAUAUUGCAUAACGGGCGCAAGCCUUAUGCAGCCAUUCAGCGUGUAUGAAGAAGGCCUUAGGGUUGUAAAGUACUUUCAGCGGGGAGGCGUUACCCGCAGAAGAAGCAACGGCUAACUCCGUGCCAGCAGCCGCGGUAAUAC